rnacentral:tRNA from 1 species
ACGUGGCUGGUUUCUACUUCGGACAUCAAAACUGAGGUGGGUGCGUUGG